rnacentral:rRNA from 1 species
UACAGAGGGUGCGAGCGUUGUCCGGAAUCACUGGGCGUAAAGAGCUCGUAGGCGGCUUGUCGCGUCGAAUGUGAAAUCUUAGGGCUCAACUCUGACAUUGCAUUCGAUACGGGCAGGCUAGAGUUCGGUAGGGGAGACUGGAAUUCCUGGUGUAGCGGUGAAAUGCGCAGAUAUCAGGAGGAACACCGGUGGCGAAGGCGGGUCUCUGGGCCGAUGACUGACGCUGAGGAGCGAAAGCGUGGGGAGCGAACAGG